rnacentral:misc_RNA from 1 species
GAUGAAGAACGUAGUGAAAUGCGAUAAGUAAUGUGAAUUGCAGAAUUUAGUGAAUCAUCGAAUCUUUGAACGCACAUUGCGCCCUUUGGUAUUCCGAAGGGCAUGCCUGUUCGAGCGUCAUUAUAACCACUCAAGCCUUUGCUUGGUAUUGGGGUUCGCGGUCUCGCGGCCCCUAAAAUCAGUGGCGGUGCCUGUCGGCUCUACGCGUAGUAAUACUCCUCGCGAUUGAGACCGGUGGGUAGCUUGCCAACAACCCUAAUUUUCUCAGGUUGACCUCGGAUCAGGUAGGGAUACCCGCUGAACUUAAGCAUAUCAAUAAGCGGAGGA